rnacentral:tRNA from 1 species
AAAGGCUUAGGAUAAAAUCUAGACCGAAGGCCUUCAAAGCCUUAAGCAGGUGAUAAAUCCACCUAGCCUUUA